rnacentral:rRNA from 1 species
ACUCCUACGGGAGGCAGCAGUGGGGGAAUAUUGCACAAUGGGCGCAAGCCUGAUGCAGCCAUGCCGCGUGUAUGAAGAAGGCCUUCGGGUUGUAAAAGUACUUUCAGCAGUGAGGAAGGCGGGUACGUUAAUAGCGUGCCGUUUGACGUUAGCUGCAGAAGAAGCACCGGCUAACUCCGUGCCAGCAGCCGCGGUAAUACGGAGGGUGCGAGCGUUAAUCGGAAUUACUGGGCGUAAAGCGCAUGCAGGUGGUUUGUUAAGUCAGAUGUGAAAGCCCGGGGCUUAACCUCGGAAUAGCAUUUGAAAACUGGCAGACUAGAGUACUUAG